rnacentral:lncRNA from 1 species
GUGGAAGCCUGGAUGGCAGAUGCUCAGGUCUGACUGCUGGGCUGCAGGGAAGAAAGAAAUGCCAAGCUGAACUCGCAGGGCUCUGCUGGAGUGAGGAAGCUGACUGAGGGAAGAACCAGAAGGCUGCCAAAAUGUCUGCUGCUGGGGAAACCAAACCACAGUAACUUCAGAAAUAUAUACUUGGAAUAUGUCAUGUAUUAAUGGGUAAAGACACCGUGGAUAUGAAGGAAAUCACCUAUGGGAGAAUAUUAAGAAGAGAAGAAGGGGCUGCUGGCUGUAGUGAAAUGUAUAAAAAGGAGAGUGUGAUCCUAGUUUCUGUCUCUAACUAUGAGUUACUUGUGAUUAACUUCAAAUAUUCUCUCCAUAAGAAGAGGCCCAGAAGAAGAAGAUGAGCUUCAGUUAUUCUAGCACAACUGCUGUGAUAUUUGUAAAUAUUCAAAACCUAUAAUAAAAUGUAUAAAAGGAAACUCCAUUUGAAAUGAUUUGAAAUCUCACAUGGAAAUCUAUUUUUUUUAAAUCAGAGCUUAGUAAGAGAAAAUAACAGAACAUUGUAAUAAUUGAAUUACAAAAACAACUGAAUUUUGGAAAAUUUAUUUUCUCUCAUGUGAUGUGUGUGUAUGUGUGUGUGUGUGUGUGUGUAUCUAUUUAGCAAUGGCGUUAUUCUAUCAAAUGGGAUUAGAUUCAUUUUUGACUCCUGCUAAGCACCCUGUCCCCCCAACCCCAAGAUUAUGAAAGCGGAAGGGAAGGGGGAGAUAGGAAAUAUGACUUAUUUAAACUGUAUAAAAAUGCUGAAAUAAAAUGAACAUUCAAAACUCAUGUGAUUGAAUUUAAUCUUUCUUUUGUUCAACACAUUCAC